rfam:Pantoea sp. PSNIH2, complete genome.
UUGCUAUGCGGAAUCGGCAGGAUGAGAACCUGCAGCAGGUUCGGGUCGAGCUUCUGCGAGACAACGUUGCCAGCGGCAACGGCCCGAAGGGCGAGGCGAAGCCGAGUCAUCCUGCACGACCCACCA